AUUCCCCUGGCACCUUUACAUUUUAAUCUAAAUGUCCUCAUGCAGCCUGUCUAAAGGUUGAACUGUCAGAUUUUACAUCCAGCUUUAGAAAAAUAUACGUCACCAUGUCACAUGACGUGGUGGCCGCAGUUGCUUUUCUGAGGCUGCACAAAGUUGGAACCAGACGUUUGGCUGGUCUCGCGGCAUUUUUCUUUGCAAUUGCCGCGAGAUCAGUCCUUGAUCUCAGCUCACAGUGAGCUCACGCAGGUACAAUGUGUCCGACUUUACGGCUUUUAUACCCGCCCCUGCGGUCACCUGCAGCUCGUUAUGCCGCCGUCAUCUCGAACGCACCUAUUGUCUGCAGUAGCCUGUUUGUUGAUUCACCUGAGCAAACACCUGUUUUCUUCCUGUGGACGUUUCCAGGCGCCACGAGGGCAAAAACAAAGUGGGAAUAAAAACAGGAUGUGACUUCAUCAGUGAAGAAAUGUGGAUGGUUGAAAGCUCCGCUCCAUCAGUAAGGAGAGGGAGAACAAGUGUCCUGGGCCCUUCAGUGAGAGCAGCAGAGAGGGAGCAUCACCUUCACCUGGAGUCCAACACCACGACAGACGGAUAACAAAACUAAAUCCAGCAGAAACGAGAAGAUGACUCAUGUUGUUUUCUUCUGUUUCUUCCAGCAGCUGAAACUGAUGAACGGCCUGACGCUUCAUUUCCACCUUCUCAUGAUUUCCUUCUACAGUCCCGCAGCAGCCUUUCCCUCAGACCAGGCUGUUGGGGACACGCCCUGAAGACUCGCUUCCAGCUGCUGCACCUGGAGGACAGCUGACACCACGAGUCCCAGCAGCACCUGUUCUGGACCAAUAAAGACCUUGUGCGGUCAGUCAUCUUCCACCUUUAGGAAAACUUCAGCCACUUCCUGUUUCCCGCUCCAUAACCCCCAGCUUCUACCUCUCCAGAACACCGGGAGGGACACGGCCCCCUCCCGAACCCGACGCCGCGGGACCGGCUCCGGGUACCCGGCCGCACGCGGGAUUCGAACCACCGCUGCGCUGCCUGCGCCUCGCGGUCGCCAUCGAACCCCACGCCGCCACCGAGUCCCCUUCACAUCUGAACCUUUUCUCCGGGCGCUUUUAUCUUCUCACUUUGGCUGUUGGACUUCAAAAGUCACUGAGCCUCAUAAGGAUCGAACCCACAACCUCAGAGCUUCUGAGCAGCCUUCUAACACUCUGAGCUGUUUGAUCUGAGACACUGACUCUUUCUUUCUUACAGCUUUUCACUUUGUUGUUAAAGUUGAAAUAAUAAUCUUAUUAUUGUAGUUCUUCAAACUAAUCAGUAGAAUUAAUCCAUUCUCAGAUAUUCUGAGUCAAAUUUAACAAACAUAUUAAGGAUUUCUAACAAAUAGAAUUUCAUUUUGUGAAAUAAAGCUGAAUGAUAAAUUGUAAGUUGAAUUUCUAGGCUUUUAUUUUGGUAUGUCCGAGUCAAACAGUCACUAAAGUGCCGUUCAGAGAAUUGAUGAAGUUACUAUUUAUUACUGCAUCAUUUUUUAUAGUGUAGAAAAACUAAAGGUGAAAUAUUCAGAUGGAAAUGAUUUGAAACAGAGAAAACUUUUUCUGAUAAAUAAAUGUUUGAUUUUCAAAGUU